GUGACUCUUGUGUUAGCUGCCUCCUGUUUCACUCAGGUACCCCUCCACAGCGAGGCUACUCUCAGAAGACAGUCCACCUCUGACCCAGCUCCUGUCACAGGUGAGCUCACCUGCUCUGAUCACCUCCUUCUAGCCCCUCCCUCCCUCCUGACACCUCCUGACACUGUGACUUCUGUACAUUCACAUCAGAUAACAGCCUGUUUAUGAGAGGAGCACAUCUGAAGGAGUAUGUUGGAAUGUUUGCAGCCUCAUGUUGAUCACAGAGCCUGCGCUGUUUCACCUGAAGACCGCGGGACCACGUGUGCGUAAUAGGAGGAAACACACAGAAGCAUCAGAGCAGAGGAGAGAAGAAGACAUCCAGCUGAGCUCAGGUAGAUGAUGGCGUGUGUGUUGGCUCUUCUCGUCCUGUCCCUCCUCCUGAUUGGUCCGUCAGCGUCACCUCCGUCUUCAGGUGACGUGUCAGAGGGGGCGGAGCCGGCCUCUCACUGCCCGCCGCGCUGGCUCCUGUUGGGGCAGAGAUGCUUCGCUUUCUACCCCGUGUGGAGCUCCUGGAGCUCUGCUGAGUCCAUGUGCUCUCAGACAGGGGGUCACCUGGCUUCCCUUCACACCCCGGAGGAGAGGCUGUUCGUGGGUCAGCUGGUGAGAACACACACACCUGUGUGGCUGGGUGGACGCCGGGCCCAACAGAACGGCUCCUGGGUUUGGACUGACGAUCAGAACCAGGAAGAGACCGGCGAGGGCGGGGCUUGCAUGCAAAUGGACCCAAUAAGUGGAGAGCUGCAUGGCGCCCCCUGUGGAGAGCUCUGGUUCUACAUCUGCUCCACCGCAGCCAGUUCUGAAGCCUUACCUGAGAACAGAACACCAGUCAAGUCAGGUCUCGCCCCCAAUGUGAGUCUGUUCGAUGCAGUGUGGGGUCCCAGUGACGCGUUGGCCGAGGAGAUUCUCCGCUGGUCCUGCUUCUUCCAGGAGCUCCAGUCCGGUCGCCUGAAGCAGCGCUGCUACAGCAGCUUCAUGCAGCAGGAGGCGCUCUACCUGCAGAGAGUCAGCAGCAUGCUGGAGGUCCUGGUCAGCAGCUUACAGGAAGCAGAUGCUGUGAGAUCACUGCUGCUGGACACUCUGGAACACUACAGCAGCAGAACACAGAACCCCAUCAAUUCACCUCCACCUCAGUGGCUCCAGUCGUCCCUCCAGUCUUUCCACUUUGUGGUUUUGGAGGAGCCGAUCUACUGGCUGGUGGCGCUGUCAGCCCGGGCCUGCCUCUAUGACUUGCUCUCCGGGGUGCAGGUCAGGACGGGGUCUGGGUCUGAACUUGUCUACCAGGACUGGAGCGAAGAGAGUCUGAAGGAAGUCGUCUGGACACAAAGGUACAGACAGGUGCUGGAGAAACAUCAGGAUCAGAUGGACACGUUCAAGGCGAUCCACGUCUUCAGGCAGCACAUGAUGAACCAGAAGAGUCUCCACAAGGCCGUAGUCUGCGAUGAUGACAUCGGUGACACCUUAUGAAGGGUGAAGUUUGUGUCUGAACGCAAGCGACCGUCUGUUGGAACGAGACUGUUCCUGCCACCAGGGUGAAGGGAACCUCCUGAACUCCACAAGUUUAGGCUUUAUUUAUAUUUCUAUCCGUUUUGUAUGAAGUUAGUAGAACUGUUGUGAAGUGAGCGAGAGGACAGCGGAGAUGAAGAAACGUGGCGUCGCCCCAGUAAAACCUCAAACAGCUCAGAAGUCCAACAUUUAUUUACAUGAUUGUCCACAAGUUUUUUAUCCUCUGUCUGAUACAAAUUGUCAUAUUUUACAAUAAGCUACAUUUUGUUUAAGUCUGACGGGCCAGAUGGAAAAAUAAAGAUAAAAAAAAAGAUGGUGAGACUUUCUGUUUAUUUGUAUUUUUACUCCUGUUAAGUUUAGGUAAGAAAAAAAAUAAAUAAAUGUCUCUAUAAAUACAUUUAAUAUGUGAUUAAAUUGGAUUAAAGUAUAUAUUUCUGUUUUUUUAUUUGCCUCGGAAUUAAUUUACUUUUCUAUUUACUCCUCAGUUUUAUUUAUGAUUAAAAUAAAACAAGGUGAGACCUUAUGUUUAUUUCUGUUUUUACUCCUUUUAAGUCCAGGUAAGAAUUUAAAUAAAAAUAAAUAAAUAAAUCUCAAUAAAUAAAUGUAAUAUGGGAUUCAAUUCAAUUCAAAUAUAUAUUAGUUUUUUGAUUUACUCUUCAGUGUAUUUAGAAUUAUAUUCCAUCUCAAUUAUUUAAAUAAAAUAAAAAUAAAAUAAAAACAUGGUGAGACUUUCUGUUUAUUUCUGUGUUUACUCAUUUAAAGUUAACAUAAGAAUUAAA
rnacentral:lncRNA from 1 species